CGCGGCCUAUCAGCUUGUUGGUGGGGUAGUGGCCUACCAAGGCGACGACGGGUAGCCGGCCUGAGAGGGUGACCGGCCACACUGGGACUGAGACACGGCCCAGACUCCUACGGGAGGCAGCAGUGGGGAAUAUUGCACAAUGGGCGAAAGCCUGAUGCAGCGACGCCGCGUGAGGGGUGACGGCCUUCGGGUUGUAAACCUCUUUCGCCAGGGACGAAGCGCAAGUGACGGUACCUGGAUAAGAAGCACCGGCUAACUACGUGCCAGCAGCCGCGGUAAUACGUAGGGUGCAAGCGUUGUCCGGAUUUAUUGGGCGUAAAGAGCUCGUAGGCGGUUUGUCGCGUCGGCUGUGAAAUCUGGAGGCUUAACCUUCAGCGUGCAGUCGAUACGGGCAGACUUGAGUUCGGUAGGGGAGACUGGAAUUCCUGGUGUAGCGGUGAAAUGCGCAGAUAUCAGGAGGAACACCGGUGGCGAAGGCGGGUCUCUGGGCCGAUACUGACGCUGAGGAGCGAAAGCGUGAGGAGCGAACAGGAUUAGAUACCCUGGUAGUCCACGCUGUAAACGGUGGGUGCUAGGUGUGGGCGACAUUCCACGUUGUCCGUGCCGUAGCUAACGCAUUAAGCACCCCGCCUGGGGAGUAC
rnacentral:rRNA from 1 species